AUUGAACGCUAGCGGGAUGCUUUACACAUGCAAGUCGAACGAGUGGCGGACGGGUGAGUAAUAUAUCGGAACGUGCCCAGUAGCGGGGGAUAACUACUCGAAAGAGUGGCCAAUACCGCAUACUAUUGGAGCGGCCGAUAUUGGAUUAGCUAGUUGGUGGGGUAAAGGAUCACCAAGGCAACGAUCCGUACCUGGUUUGAAAGGACGACCAGCCACACUGGGACGUAGACACGGCCCAGACUCCUACGGGAGGCAGCAGUGGGGAAUUUUGGACAAUGGGAGAAAACCUGAUGCAGCCAUCCCGCGUGUAUGAGAAGGCCUUCGGGUUGUAAAGUACUUUUGGCAGAGAAGCGGUAUCUGAAGAAUAAGGCCCGGCUAACUACGUGCCAGCCGCCGCGGUAAUAC
rnacentral:rRNA from 1 species